CAUCCCAAAAUAAGUGUAGUUUUGCACUGUUUAUGUCUCACGUUUGACCGUUCGUCUUAUUUGAAUUUUUUUUACAAUUAAUAUUUUUAUUGUUAUUAGAUGAUAAAAUAUAAAUAGUAUUUUAUGUGUGACUAACUUAUUUUAAUUUUCUCAUAAAUUUUUCAAAUAAGAUGGACGAUCAAACAUUGGAUACGGAUUCUCAUGGCUGCACUUAUUUUGGGACGGAUGUA
rnacentral:pre_miRNA from 1 species